rnacentral:rRNA from 1 species
UACGGGGGGAGCAAGCGUUGUUCGGAUUUACUGGGCGUAAAGGGCGCGUAGGCGGCCACCGCAAGUCGACUGUGAAAUCUCCGGGCUUAACCCGGAAAGGUCAGCCGAUACUGCGGGGCUAGAGUGCAGAAGGGGCAACUGGAAUUCUCGGUGUAGCGGUGAAAUGCGUAGAUAUCGAGAGGAACACCUGCGGCGAAGGCGACUUCCUGGCCUGUUCUUGACGCUGAGGCGCGAAAGCUAGGGGAGCAAACGGG